CCAGGGAAUCAGCAGGAGGAGGAUCUUCUGGGAAACAACAGGAAGUGGGACAAGACUGGGUUCUACCCAUAUGAGUCUGAUGAAGAUGAGCCGUACGAGUAUGAAUCUGGAGAUGAUGUGGUCGAGGGGAACGUCGAGUCCUUUAAAGAGAAGGAGGUGUUGAAGAUCAGGGUCCAAGGACCUGCUAAGUACUACAACUGGAGGAAUGAAAAGUACCGGUGCCCCUACUGCAGCAAGCCCAAGCCCAGGUCUGGGUUAUUGGAGCAUCUGAUGGAACAUUGCCGGGCUACAUCGAUCUCCAGUCAUGACUACAAGAUCAUUGGUCAGCAUUCUGCCCUCCUGAAGGUCCUGAGAAACCCUGACCUCUAG
rnacentral:rRNA from 1 species